UACGUAGGGUGCAAGCGUUGUCCGGAAUUAUUGGGCGUAAAGCGCACGUAGGCGGCCCUGUAAGUCCGUUGUGAAAGUCAAAGGCUCAACCUUUGAAUGCCGAUGGAUACUGCAGGGCUAGAGUCCGGAAGAGGCGAGUGGAAUUCCUGGUGUAGCGGUGGAAUGCGCAGAUAUCAGGAGGAACACCGGUGGCGAAGGCGGCGAUCUGGGUAGAUACUGACGCUGAGGUGCGAAAGCGUGGGGAGCAAACAGG
rnacentral:rRNA from 1 species